rnacentral:rRNA from 1 species
GACGAACGCUGGCGGCGUGCUUAACACAUGCAAGUCGAACGCUGAAGCUCAGCUUUUGUUGGGUGGAUGAGUGGCGAACGGGUGAGUAACACGUGAGUAACCUGCCCCCUUCUUUGGGAUAACGCCCGGAAACGGGUGCUAAUACUGGAUAUUCACUGGUCUUCGCAUGGGGUUGGUGGAAAGGGUUUUUCUGGUGGGGGAUGGGCUCGCGGCCUAUCAGCUUGUUGGUGGGGUGAUGGCCUACCAAGGCUUUGACGGGUAGCCGGCCUGAGAGGGUGACCGGUCACAUUGGGACUGAGAUACGGCCCAGACUCCUACGGGAGGCAGCAGUGGGGAAUAUUGCACAAUGGGCGCAAGCCUGAUGCAGCGACGCCGCGCGAGGGAUGGAGGCCUUCGGGUUGUGAACCUCUUUCGCUCAUGGUCAAGCCGCAACAAUGGUUGUGGUGAGGGUAGCGGGUAAAGAAGCGCCGGCUAACUACGUG